UACAGAGGGUGCAAGCGUUAAUCGGAAUUACUGGGCGUAAAGCGUGCGCAGACGGUUGCGUAAGUCAGACGUGAAAUCCCUCGGCUCAACCGGGGAACUGCGUCUGAGACUGGCGAGCUUGAGUGCAGGAGAGGAACGCAGAAUUCCAGGUGUAGCGGUGAAAUGCGUAGAUAUCUGGAGGAAUACCGAUGGCGAAGGCAGCCCCCUGGGCCAAUACUGACGCUCAUGCACGAAAGCGUGGGGAGCAAACAGG
rnacentral:rRNA from 1 species